AGUACUGUGAAGGAAAGGUGAAAAGAACUUUGAAAAGAGAGUGAAAUAGUAUGUGAAAUUGUUGAUAGGGAAGGAAAUGAGUGGAGAGUGGACGAGGUUUCAGUGCCCCCUCGGGGGUACGUACUGCCAACUCCGAGUCAACGUCAGCGAGACGGGGUGUAUAAACGGGUGUCUUCGGACUCUCACCUACUCCCCCCCACUGCCGUCGUCGACAUAAUCCACCCAUUUCACCCGUCUUGAAACACGGACCAAGGAGUCUAAUGGAUAUGUGAGUGUUAGGGUGGCAAACCCCAGCGCGCAAUGAAAGUGAAUGAUUCGUUCAGAAUCGACCGAACUUGAUUUUUAUGACAGUUUUGAGUAAACACAUCCAUUGGGACCCGAAAGAUGGUGAACUAUGCCUGAAUAGGGUGAAGUCAGAGGAGACUCUGAUGGAGGCUCGUAGCGGUUCUGACGUGCAAAUCGAUCGUAGAAUUUGGGUAUAGGGGCGAAAGACUAAUCGAACCAUCUAGUAGCUGGUUCCUGC
rnacentral:rRNA from 1 species